rnacentral:rRNA from 1 species
GACGAACGCUGGCGGCGUGCUUAACACAUGCAAGUCGAACGGAAAGGCCUGUCCUUCCUUGUGUUGGACGGGUACUCGAGUGGCGAACGGGUGAGUAACACGUGAGUGAUCUGCCCCCAACUUGGGUAUAAGCCUGGGAAACUGGGUCUAAUUCCCGAUAGGACUGCAGGGUGGUGCCUGUGGUGGAAAACGAUUUUCUAGUGGUUGGGGAUGAGCUUGCGGCCUAUCAGCUUGUUGGUGGGGUAAUGGCCUACCAAGGCGGCGACGGGUAGCCGGCCUGAGAGGGUGGACGGCCACAUUGGGACUGAGAUACGGCCCAGACUCCUGCGGGAGGCAGCAGUGGGGAAUAUUGCACAAUGGGCGGAAGCCUGAUGCAGCGACGCCGCGUGGGGGAUGACGGCCUUCGGGUUGUAAACUCCUUUCGACCGCGAGGAAGCCGCCUGGUUGGAAGGGUGGUGACGGUAGUGGUAGAAGAAGCACUGGCUAACUACGUG